rnacentral:rRNA from 1 species
CCUACGGGUGGCAGCAGUGGGGAAUAUUGCACAAUGGGGGAAACCCUGAUGCAGCGACGCCGCGUGAGUGAAGAAGUAAUUCGUUACGUAAAGCUCUAUCAGCAGGGAAGAAACACUGACCUUACGGUCAGCAGACGGUACCUGAGUAAGAAGCCCCGGCUAACGACGUGCCAGCAGCCGCGGUAAUACGUAGGGGGCAAGCGUUAUCCGGAUUUACGGGGUGUAAAGGGAGCGUAGACGGUGCGCCAAGUCUGGAGGGAAAUGCCGCCGCUUAACGGCGGAACUGCUUUGGAAACUGGCGACCUAGAGUGCGGGAGGGGUCAGCGGAAUUCCUAGUGUAGCGGUGAAAUGCGUAGAUAUUAGGAGGAACACCGGUGGCGAAGGCGGCUUACUGGACCGUGACUGACGUUGAGGCUCGAAAGCGUGGGGAGCAAACAGGAUUAGCUACCCGAGUAGUC